rnacentral:rRNA from 1 species
GACGAACGCUGGCGGCGUGCUUAACACAUGCAAGUCGAACGCUGAAGCCUGGCUUUUGUUGGGUGGAUGAGUGGCGAACGGGUGAGUAACACGUGAGUAACCUGCCCCCUUCUUUGGGAUAACGCCCGGAAACGGGUGCUAAUACUGGAUAUUCACUGGCCUUCGCAUGGGGGUUGGUGGAAAGGUUUGUUCUGGUGGGGGAUGGGCUCGCGGCCUAUCAGCUUGUUGGUGGGGUGAUGGCCUACCAAGGCUUUGACGGGUAGCCGGCCUGAGAGGGUGACCGGUCACAUUGGGACUGAGAUACGGCCCAGACUCCUACGGGAGGCAGCAGUGGGGAAUAUUGCACAAUGGGCGAAAGCCUGAUGCAGCGACGCCGCGUGAGGGAUGGAGGCCUUCGGGUUGUAAACCUCUUUCGCUCAUGGUCAAGCCGCAACUGUGGGUUGUGGUGAGGGUAGUGGGUAAAGAAGCGCCGGCUAACUACGUGCCAGCAGCCGCGGUAAUACGUAGGGCGCGAGCGUUGUCCGGAAUUAUUGGGCGUAAAGGGCUUGUAGGCGGUUGGUCGCGUCUGCCGUGAAAUCCUCUGGCUUAACUGGGGGCGUGCGGUGGGUACGGGCUGACUUGAGUGCGGUAGGGGAGACUGGAACUCCUGGUGUAGCGGUGGAAUGCGCAGAUAUCAGGAAGAACACCGGUGGCGAAGGCGGGUCUCUGGGCCGUUACUGACGCUGAGGAGCGAAAGCGUGGGGAGCGAACAGG